rnacentral:tRNA from 1 species
GGAGAGAUGGCUCAGCAGUUAAGAGCACUGGCCGCUCUUCCAGAGGACCUGGGUUCAAUUCCCAGCACCC